UACGUAGGGGGCAAGCGUUGUCCGGAUUUAUUGGGCGUAAAGAGCGUGUAGGCGGCCAAGCAGGUCAGCUGUGAAAACUCGAGGCUCAACCUCGAGACGUCGGUUGAAACCGCUUGGCUAGAGUCCGGAAGAGGAGAGUGGAAUUCCCGGUGUAGCGGUGAAAUGCGCAGAUAUCGGGAAGAACACCCGUGGCGAAAGCGGUUCUCUGGGCCUUACCUGACGCUGAGGAGCGAAAGCGUGGGGAGCGAACAGG
rnacentral:rRNA from 1 species